UAAGCAGAGCGUGAAAUCGUGUGGCUCAACCAUACACACAUGCUCUGAACUGCUAAGCUAGAGAAUGGAAGAGGUCGCUAGAAUUCCUGGUGUAGGGGUGAAAUCCGUAGAUAUCAGGAGGAAUACCGAUGGCGUAGGCAGGCGACUGGUCCAUUUCUGACGCUCAGGCACGAAAGCGUGGGGAGCGAUCGGGAUUAGAUACCCCGGUAGUCCACGCCGUAAACGAUGGAUGCUA
rnacentral:rRNA from 1 species